rnacentral:pre_miRNA from 1 species
UUGCAGAAAAGUGUAAGGCGGUGUACUUCCGGUCGUAUCUAAAUACACACACCGGAAGUACACUGCCGUACACUUUUCUGCAGC